rnacentral:tRNA from 1 species
ACUUAAAUAGUUUAAUUAAAAUAUCGAUUUGUGAUAUCGGUGAUAUAUACUUUAUAUUUUAGGUC